UUUUUUUUUUUUUUUUUUUGGCCCUGGGAGGCUACAGGGACUCAAGGACUUCAUCAUCAAAGUCCUGUGCCGGCUAGCUUCCAGUUGUAUUGAGUCAAUGGAGAAUCUGGCAGAUUGGAGGAAGGAGAAGGUCAUGAUCAUCUGGCAAUUAAAGAAAUGGCCAGACUGCCUCCCACUCUGAGGACCCUUGGCUACCUGACACGUAAUUCCAGAGACCACAGUAGUCAGUGCUGGCAAGAUUCCAGAGCCCAGAAGAAGGAGCAAUCUUUUGAAAAUCUCCUUGGAAGGCACACUCAAUUCAAAGAUGACCAUGGGAAUGAUUGACCUAGCUUCCAAGAGAUUCAUUUGAUGUUUAGUUACAGGAUAUCCAUCGAUGACAACA
rnacentral:lncRNA from 1 species